rnacentral:lncRNA from 1 species
AAAUAUUCUGUUUUCUUAUAAAACAAUAUUUAUAGAGUUAUACGUGAAUAAUUUUUAUAGCGUAAAAGCUAAAUAAAUUUAUACAUACUUAAAUACAGUAAGCCAAAAUAUUUAAUUUAAUUUACAAUAACAAGAGGGCCCCCGAAUAAACAAAAGUAAAGAGGACUGUGAACCUACGGUUUGGAAAAUGCAGAUCCCACUGUAGUCCUCGAUGAGAUCAGCUAUCUACAGUCUAUACUGAACCUGAAAUGGGUGGAAAGGAGGGUGGUGAGAUUAUAAAAUCCCAAUGAGUAAACAAACAUCAUCAUAAACAUCUAGAGUUGAGUACAUGGAGACAAUAAAGUAAAUCAUCAUAAACUGGGUUAUAGCAUUAGAACACAUUUUGUUCAAAACACGUAAAGAGGCUUAUGAAUCUCAUAAAAAUCUAGGCUUGUGCCAUAAAUCCAUUCUCGGGGACACCUUGGCCGAGGCAUCCUACCGAGACCGCCAAGGCUAUUAAAAUUCACAUUUCACAUAAAUCAUGUUUUUGUUUUGAAAACAUAGCCGUUCCUUGGCGUUGGCUGAGUUCCCCCUCACGUGGUGGUUUAGCGUGAAGUGAACCCUAAACUUUACCCCAGGAGAUACCCUACGCGCCUCUCCGUUCGAGGUAAGAAUAUAAUGGGGUUUACCGUGCCCCUCUAAAAGGCUGGUCCACAGAAACCCCCUACUGCAGUGAUUAAUUAAUAUAUAAUCCACCAUAUAAUAAAACUCAAUAACAUGAUAUGGCAAUUUUGUAAUUCGUAGUUUUUCAAGGUAACCAAACAAUUCGCAUUUCAAUACAAUUGCCAACUAGCCAAUCAUGCUCGAUUUAUCAUAAGCCAGUUAAUUUAAACAAUCAAAUUGCCACAAUUAACAGUCUCCGUGUACUCUAUUUUUCAAAAUCACUAUUAAUUUCAAAACAAUUUAUAAUUUAAUUUCAUUGAAACUCAUUUAUUCAUAAAACAUGAAAAUUUAUCUUUUUAAAUUCCUUUUUCCAUAGAAUUCAUGAAAGCAUCUAAAAACCACCCUAGAUAAUUAAAAUGACAGUAAGUUUACUCACAAUGUCUAGAAUGCAGACUUUCGAAGCACUCUGUCUACUGGUCCUCGGAUGCAAUUUCCUUGCCUUUAUUGGAGGACUCACCACCUUGACACAGUACAAAAUCGAGAAUUUCACUAAGUUGGUACUAAAUCAAAAUUAAACUAAUUUAGACUACCAAUGCAUGAUAUGGAAUGCAAAAAUGCACUGGUAACUAUCUAAACCCGGUAUUAGCCUAAUUCGUCUUAUCACCCGAUUAAAUUCCUAACGGGUCCGUUUAAACUCCAAUUUAAUUCUUUUCAGUUUCUAUACCUCAAUUGCACCCAAAUUAACUUAAUGUCCCUCAGUGUGGUGCAAAUUAUCAGUCCCAACAGCAAAUUACGAAAAUACCCCUAGUGGGUAAAAAUUCGUAUUUUUGCUCCGAAAAUUCCCAUUAUUUUUCUAGGCUCAUAAUUCAUUAUUCCUUAACCAAUUCUCCUAGAAUAAAAUCAAACUCAUCCUCACUCACUACAUGGUAAAUUCAGCCAUUAAUGGUUGUGGGAGAAAAUAAAUUCUUUUCUUGUUGUUUUGUUUCUAAAUAUGCUAAACUAACUAAAAACACUAACAUAAAUUAAAAUCAAAUAAAUCCAACAACUUUCUCUCUCCUAACCCAUUUUGAUCAGCCAACAAUUCAUCAUAAAAACAUGCAAUUUGAGCAUGGAAAAUGAAGAGAAAUGCUUAAGGAAAAUAGAUUUCAAGCUUAAGUUGAAAAAUCCUACCUUUUUCACUUGUUUUCCUUGAUUUUUCACACUUUUUCUCUUGAAAUUCCUCACCUAGGUUUUGUUUUUCCUUUCUUUCCCUCUCUUCCUUGCUUGGCC